rnacentral:tRNA from 1 species
GGUGGUAUGGCGGAAUUGGUAGACGCUACAUUGCGGUAGAUGGUACUGGACAGGACGCCGAGGAGGCUCUCGACAGAUCAGUCGCUAAACCCAUCGUUGCAGGUUCAAAUCCUGCUACCACCA